UCACUUUCACAACGGAUCUCUUGGCUCUCGCAUCGAUGAAGAACGUAGCCGAAGUGCGAUAAGUAAUGUGAAUGCAGAAUCCUGAGUCAUCGAAUCUUGACGCAAUGCACUCUCUGGAUCCGGAGAUGCUGUUAGGACGUUAAUAAAUCGAGGGCCUUUG
rnacentral:rRNA from 1 species